UUUUCAAACCGGGUCUAAAUGGUCGCCGUCCCUAAAUAAACAUGGAGUUUGGAACACAAUCUAAAGUGCGUCCCAUGUCUUGUAUAAUUAUGUUAAUUGUUUAUUUAGAGCCAUGGUGUGCAUCUCUCUGUUAAAAGGUUGAGUGAUUUUGUUUGACGUUGUUUUGGAACAAGUGUAUGUGAGGGUUUUGAUUGGCCUGUAGACAGGUGAUGUGUGGGGAUGAAAGGAAAAAGCAAGCUAAGAGGGAGAAUGCAAAACAUCAGUAGCGAGCACGCCAUGAUCUUCCUGCGCCGUGCUAGCAGCGAAAUUCUCUUUGAGAAAUUUUUAAGCUUGUGAGCUUUUCCAGGCAAAGAAUCAGUCCUGCACACCGGCAUAAGGUGUCAUUGAACCACUGAUGGGUGCCAUUGAGGGUACCGUUGACUGGCAGUCAGUCCACCAUUGGACCAACGCCUCUAUUGAUGUCGGUCACAGAUGGUGAAACAACUUUGGCGACAGGACCUUGAAAGUCCAAAGUGGAUCACAGAUGACAAUAACGGAACAGAGCCUUACUCACCAACCCUCUGAGGCUCAACAGGGACUAGGGCCAACAAGGAGCACCUCCACAAGUCAAGCACUGGUGGGCCCAUCACACAGCCUGCAUGUAAUUAUACUGAUCGUGACUUCUUGUGUGUGUGUUCUGUUGAUUUAUAACAGUAUCUGAAGAAAAUUUUGGUAUGUGGCUUACAUUCAGAAAAAUUAUUGAAUAGUUGAAGAGAAUUGGAUUACUGGAAUGACAAGAUAAAACUUACUGGCCAGAUUUUGAAGAGACACUUUGCAGAAUUUUAGGCGUGAAUGUAAUUGAAUUUGAUUUAUAUACAUGUACAUGUAUUGUCAUAUUCAGGAGUUGUAUUAGAAACGCAGGGUAAAUUGAGAAAGAAGAGUUUUGAGAAAAUUUGAACCACUGUUGGAAUCAGCGAACUGUGAAGUGAUAAUUAUUGGUUAUCGAUAGACAGAUACUGAGUUUUUUAAAAUUUGGAUUUGACUCUUGUGAUCAUUUUCAUUACAUGAAUUGUUCACUGUGAUUUGCUGGAUUUGAGGAGAGAUUUCUCCAUACAGCAGAUUGAUUUUAACAUUGCUUAAUUAUUUAGGAUUAUUAUUGUUUGUAUCUUUUUUAAAUUUAAUUUAACAUUCAUUAAACUUUGUUGAAUCUUU